rnacentral:rRNA from 1 species
CCUACGGGAGGCAGCAGUGGGGAAUAUUGCGCAAUGGGCGAAAGCCUGACGCAGCGACGCCGCGUGAGGGAUGAAGGUCUUCGGAUCGUAAACCUCUGUCAGCAGGGAAGAACGGUCAGUGUGAUAAGCAGCAGUGAAUUGACGGUACCUGCAAAGGAAGCACCGGCUAACUCCGUGCCAGCAGCCGCGGUAAUACGGAGGGUUCGAGCGUGAAGGGGAAUUACUGGGAGGAAAGCGCUCGUAGGCGGUAUGUCAAGUCAAGGGUGAAAUCCCCGCGCUCAACGUGGGAACUGCCUUUGAAACUGGCAAACUUGAGUUUGUGAGAGGUUAGUGGAAUUCCAGGUGUAGGCGUGAAAUCCGUAGAUAUCUGGUGGAACAUCAGUGGCGAAGGCGACUUUCUGGCACAUACCUGACGCUGAGGCGCGAAAGCGUGGGUAGCAAACAGGAUUAGAUACCCUAGUAGUC